UUAAAUUGAAGAGUUUGAUCAUGGCUCAGAGUGAACGCUGGCGGCAGGCGUAACACAUGCAAGUCGAACGGUAACAGGAAACAGCUUGCUGUUUCGCUGACGAGUGGCGGACGGGUGAGGAAUGUCUGGGAAACUGC
rnacentral:rRNA from 1 species